rnacentral:rRNA from 7 species
CAAAGGAGACUGCCAGUGAUAAACUGGAGGAAGGUGGGGAUGACGUCAAGUCAUCAUGGCCCUUACGACCAGGGCUACACACGUGCUACAAUGGCGCAUACAAAGAGAAGCGACCUCGCGAGAGCAAGCGGACCUCAUAAAGUGCGUCGUAGUCCGGAUUGGAGUCUGCAACUCGACUCCAUGAAGUCGGAAUCGCUAGUAAUCGUGGAUCAGAAUGCCACGGUGAAUACGUUCCCGGGCCUUGUACACACCGCCCGUCACACCAUGGGAGUGGGUUGCAAAAGAAGUAGGUAGCUUAACCUUCGGGAGGGCGCUUACCACUUUGUGAUUCAUGACUGGGGUGAAGUCGUAACAAGGUAACCGUAGGGGAACCUGCGGUUGGA